rnacentral:rRNA from 1 species
GAUGAACGCUGGCGGCGUGCCUAAUACAUGCAAGUCGAGCGAACGGACGAGAAGCUUGCUUCUCUGAUGUUAGCGGCGGACGGGUGAGUAACACGUGGAUAACCUACCUAUAAGACUGGGAUAACUUCGGGAAACCGGAGCUAAUACCGGAUGAUAUUUUGAACCGCAUGGUUCAAAAGUGAAAGACGGUCUUGCUGUCACUUAUAGAUGGAUCCGCGCUGCAUUAGCUAGUUGGUAAGGUAACGGCUUACCAAGGCAACGAUGCAUAGCCGACCUGAGAGGGUGAUCGGCCACACUGGAACUGAGACACGGUCCAGACUCCUACGGGAGGCAGCAGUAGGGAAUCUUCCGCAAUGGGCGAAAGCCUGACGGAGCAACGACGCGUGAGUGAUGAAGGUCUUCGGAUCGUAAAACUCUGUUAUUAGGGAAGAACAUAUGUGUAAGUAACUGUGCACAUCUUGACGGUACCUAAUCAGAAAGCCACGGCUAACUACGUG